GCUUGUAGUUGCUCAGUUGGUAGAGCAUGCGAUUCCUAAUCUCAGGGUCAUGGGUUUGAGCCCCACACUGGGCA